rnacentral:piRNA from 1 species
ACAGUUAAGCUUUUCCAUGUGGUC